rnacentral:tRNA from 1 species
UACAUUUUAGUGUAUGGUGCACGAGAACUUUUGAUGUUUUUGGGGAUAGUUCGAUUCUAUUGGAUGUAA